rnacentral:lncRNA from 1 species
GCAGUCGGCGUCCGCCCUCGCUUGAACGCGUCCCCCUUGCGCCCGGGGGGCGCUGCGCUCCCUCCAGGAGAGGACGCUGCGUCUAAGUCUAAGAGCCUCCAGUGGAAAGUCCCGGAAGCCCUCCCCUGGGCUUGAGAUUUUUGCUGGCUGAAAUGGAGCCUGGAAGUGCUUUUCUGUGGUUUAGAUGGGGAAGGAAUGGGGGAAAGAAACGGUUCGGGAAAGGGGAGAAUGGAGGGGAGAAGAGGGAAGGAAGAUGGCAGGAGCCUCGGAGGUCAGGCUUGCAAGCAAAGCAAACACCAGGCUCCAGAGGGGUUUGCAGGCUACAGAACACCGAGUUUCGAGAGAAUCACAUGUUUAUCUUCUCUUAAAAUUCUCAUACUGAACGAUCUGGAUGUGACUCAGCUCACGCAGUCGCUAGCUGUGGCACCGUGUGAGCUACUUAACCUCAGAAAGAGUUUCAUCAUCUGUAAAAUGGGCAUCACGGCCUUGUGGAAUGGAUUAAAAGAGCCAAAGUGCAUAAAGCUCACGCAGUAUCCUUUAUAAGCAGUUUGUAGGUCUCCUUCCUUGAAUUUCUUUCAAGCUCCCAAUAGCCAACGGGAAGCCGAACACACUUUCACACUAAAAAUGGGAAUUCAGGGAAGUAUCAUCAGGUUCUGAACUAUGUUUUAAGACUCAAGUCAAACACCAAAACUGAGUCACCACCUAAUGUGUGUGCAGCACGUGUUAGGGGCAGUUUGCUAUGUGAUGACUUGAACGACAGUUUCUCUCUCCUGGGACUUUCAUAAAAUUCCUUUGGUGUUGCCACACACUUCUGGGAUUCUCCACAAUGAGCCCAUUGCUGAGCCUGUCUCUGCAGAUGUUUAUUAAACAAGCAGAAUUUAGGGGAAUAGUCAGCAAGUCUUCACCAAGUUCUUCUAUGUGGGCAGCUUUUGUGGUGUGGCCAGGGUAUGAGGAUAAAGAGCAACUUGGAAAAGUCUGGGGAGAAUUUAAGUAGCCUGAAGAGUCUCUGUCCCUCAGGGAGGAAAGCUGAGAAAUCGUUUCCAUAUUUAUGUGUCAAUUGCUUUAUGUCCAUUUAUUUGAUCUUCCUUACAAAAUCUUGCAUAGAAAAUUUCAUCCUCAUUUUACAGAUGAGGAAACUGAAGCUUAGAGAGCUUAGGUCACUUACCCAAGUUCAUCCAGGUAGCAAAGUGUCAGGUCUGGAUUUAAAUCAGGUUGAGUCCAGUACCUUUUUCUUUUUUAUAUCACGCUGCCUUUCCCUAGAAGCCAAAAUUUCUAGGAAAUAAAUGAACUGCAAUGACAAAGCAGCACAUUUUCCCAUGUUCUUUGCUCUUGAUCCCUACCUACUCUUUUCCCGGAAAUAGACAAUAAAGCCACCAGGAUACCUGAGACAGCCUUGGUCAUCUUUGUACCGUAGCCAGCACCAUGGAUUUUUGCCUAGUUACUUUCCCAUCAGAUUUUAACAGAAAGAACACUGUAUUUGCCAGCUCAGUACAGCAUAUCUCUGGCUCUGUUUUCUCCCCAGCAGGAAUCCGAGGGUCUGUCUCUGUAUGUGUUAUCAUCAGACUGGUAAAGAGUUACAUGUGUCAGCACAGAAGAAAAGAGCUUUGAUGUGAGUUCAGCAUGUAAGAAAGCCUUCAUUGCUGUCAUGCUUUCAACAGGUUCCCCACGACCCACCACUGCCUGCCAAGAUGAAUGUAAAUGAAGCAGAAGUCUCACAGGGUAAAUUCAGCUUCCCACGACCUGCAGUUGGACAGGGUGGCAAGGAGAUGAUGAUAAUUCCAUGGCUCCCAGCUUAAUUUCUCUUGGGGAGGGGUAUGUGGACUCUUGCUAUCCUGGAGUCCAUAUCAUGCAGGACUCCGGAACAUAAAAGGCAACAACAGUGAAGUGAGUGCCUGUUACAAACAAGGCUCAACUCAAAGCUAACAAUUCUUCUUUAUUAGGAUACCACUGAUCAGAGCUGCAAAGUGUACUCACAUCUGUCAUUUCGUGUCAUUCUUACAUAAAUCCUGUAGCUGGGCACAGUAGGAAGAAGCAUUCUCAUCAUGGCCACUUAGCUUGCUCGAGAUUACACAGAACCAUGCCUCUGGUUUCCUGGUACAGUGCUCCGGCAGGUGACGGAUGCUCCUGGGUGACAUAUCACGGAUCUCUCUGAGGUUGUUAAGAAUGAUCCUCUGUGACUGCACUAAAUAUUUUUUAAGUUGCAUACUGAGGUGUUGCAGAAGUUACUUUAUUAUUAAAAAAACAGCCUGGGAACUGAAGCCUAGAAAUGGGAUAAGAAUUAUAAUUUCAAGACAAAAGCAAGCAACUGGGUCAGAGAAAUGAUACAAUGAUUAACCUUCAUAUGUGGUCUGUACUUCAUCCAAUGAAGGGUGUAACAGUAAAAAAUAAAGUAGAAUGCACACA